rnacentral:misc_RNA from 1 species
ACCUUGCGUGUUAUCCAAGGCCCCGAGUCCUUCUAUUUCUAGGAUAUCUGGGCUCUGGUCGCUGUCUUUCUGGUCUGAUUUAUUUGCCGAUUUUCUGUUUUUCUUUUUCUUCUUAUUACCGGUUUUGUUAUUGUUUUUAUCACUUGAUGUAACACUCUUUUUCGAGGAUUUCUUCGAAGUCUGUUUAUUAUCCAUUUCCUAUUUGAGGUGAUGACCGCUUAACGCAUGCGAUGUAAACUACGCAUCCGCGUCAUAUAACAACAGUGCCCGUUCGUGUAUCAUCCCUUGACACAAAAUGGAAGCUGGUUUCAAUCACAGUGUAGAAUAUUAUACUUCUGAAUACUGUUUAAAAGCAAAAACACCAAAGUCUACUCCAGGUCAUGAAAAUAAUCGCAACUAUACUGUUAUUGCUAUAACAGUUAGUGCCUUGAAAAAAUGGCCUUCCCAUCUGGGGACAGACUUGAUGUGGAAGAUUACGUCUUGGACGAGAUCUUUUCUGAAUGGGGAGAUUCGCCACCCACCGCAGAUUCAGAUAAUGAUACGGCGAAAUCGCACAGUUCUGAUUCAAAAACUAUCUCUGUUAGAGAGAUUUCGUCCAGGGUAUCUGUGGGUCACAGAUUUGACGAAACAGAACUGGUGCGAGCAACAGCUGUUCUACGCAUUCACCAUUCCUACGGUAGCGGUAGUGGAGGACACGCCCGUGAUGAAGGCAGGGACGGACUAUCACUUGGCUAGAGAACUAGCAACUCAUGAUGUUGUGAAAGUUGACGUCCAGUCAAGCGAAGACAUUUGGGCUGUCAAAAUGCUCAACCUGCAUUCGGCUGUGAGCACUUUCCUGCAUGGAGGAAACGUUGCAAGAGAGGUGCCGGUGUUUGGCGCGCCAUUCAAUGAGAACAUCCUGGUAGUUGGGCUCAUUGACGAAUUGCGUUUCGAUCCUUUGAACUACACCAUUGACUUGAAUGAGUUAAAAACUCGCCAGUAUUCUAACUUACCGUCUCACGCUCAAAAGAAACAACACAGUUUUCAAGUGAGUUUAUACAAGACUCUGUUUGACGAUCUCGUAAAAGGGAGAGUUUCCAAACAAUUCAUGGCUUCUUCCUUGAGGAUUGAUCUUCAUAAAGAGCUUGGCGGAUCAAUACGAGAACACGCAGAGAAACAAUUCGUCGAGAUAAAGACACUGAAUGAUCUCAUGGACAUCAUAUUCCACAAAAUACAAACUCUUACCUGUAUCAGUCAAGUUUUCAUCGAAUACGUUCAUCAGGAAUCAAAGCAGACGAUAGGUCACGUGGAAGUGGAAUAUGACGUCAGUGAAGUUUCGAACUUGUAUAAGAGAUAUGUGCAAUUCUGGAGAGGAAACCGAUCAGCGGAGGGUGUAGAUAUAGAGGAGGCGUGGAAGUGCCAGAGGUGUGACUUUAACUCGGUUUGCGAGUGGAGAGAAAAGAAGGCGAAAGAAUACGAAUUUAAAAAUAAACAGAAAAAUAAACUUUGAAAAUAGGCCUAACAUAGAUUUUUCUAUUAUUUAUUGAUUUGAUAUAUUUGAAAUUCAUAGGUAUAUUUGAUAUAUAUAAAAUAAACGAAUUGUAGUUAUA